rnacentral:rRNA from 1 species
AGAGCGAACGCUGGCGGCAGGCUUAACACAUGCAAGUCGAGCGGGCGUAGCAAUACGUCAGCGGCAGACGGGUGAGUAACGCGUGGGAACAUACCUUUUGGUUCGGAACAACACAGGGAAACUUGUGCUAAUACCGGAUAAGCCCUUACGGGGAAAGAUUUAUCGCCGAAAGAUUGGCCCGCGUCUGAUUAGCUAGUUGGUGAGGUAACGGCUCACCAAGGCGACGAUCAGUAGCUGGUCUGAGAGGAUGAUCAGCCACAUUGGGACUGAGACACGGCCCAAACUCCUACGGGAGGCAGCAGUGGGGAAUAUUGGACAAUGGGCGCAAGCCUGAUCCAGCCAUGCCGCGUGAGUGAUGAAGGCCCUAGGGUUGUAAAGCUCUUUUGUGCGGGAAGAUAAUGACGGUACCGCAAAGAAUAAGCCCCGGCUAACUUCGUGCCAGCAGCCGC